GACGAACCGAGCGAACGUUGUUCGGAAUCACUGGGCUUAAAGGGCGCGUAGGCGGGCUGUCAAGUCUGGGGUGAAAUGCCGCGGCUCAACCGUGGAACUGCCUCAGAUACUGACGGCCUCGAGGGAGGUAGGGGCGAGCGGAACUAAUGGUGGAGCGGUGAAAUGCGUUGAUAUCCAGCGGAACUCCGGUGGCGAAGGCGAGGUGCUGGACCCUUUCUGACGCUGAGUGCGCGAAAGCCAGGGGAGCAAACGGG
rnacentral:rRNA from 1 species